rnacentral:rRNA from 2 species
AACGUAGGACACAAGCGUUAUCCGGAAUUACUGGGCGUAAAGCGCGCGCAGGCGGGUCAACAAGUCAUGCGUGAAAGCUCCUGGCUAAACUGGGAGAGGUCGGAUGAGACUGUUGGUCUGGAGGGCGUCAGAGGAGUGUGGAAUUCCGCGUGUAGUGGUGAAAUGCGUAGAGAUGCGGAGGAACACCAGUGGCGAAGGCGGCACUCUGGGGCGCACCUGACGCUGAGGCGCGAAAGCAUGGGUAGCGAACGGG